UACGUAGGGCGCAAGCGUUGUCCGGAAUUAUUGGGCGUAAAGAGCUCGUAGGCGGUUUGUCGCGUCUGCUGUGAAAACCUAAGGCUCAACCUUGGGCUUGCAGUGGGUACGGGCAGACUAGAGUGCGGUAGGGGUGACUGGAAUUCCUGGUGUAGCGGUGGAAUGCGCAGAUAUCAGGAGGAACACCGAUGGCGAAGGCGGGUCUCUGGGCCGAUACUGACGCUGGAGGAGCGGAAAAGCGUGGGGAGCGAACAGG
rnacentral:rRNA from 1 species